GUACACAAAAAUGCACAUAUUGUGAGCUCGAUGAGUAGGGCGGGACACGUGGUAUCCUGUCUGAAUAUGGGGGGACCAUCCUCCAAGGCUAAAUACUCCUGACUGACCGAUAGUGAACCAGUACCGUGAGGGAAAGGCGAAAAGAACCCCGGCGAGGGGAGUGAAAAAGAACCUGAAACCGUGUACGUACAAGCAGUGGGAGCACGCUUAGGCGUGUGACUGCGUACCUUUUGUAUAAUGGGUCAGCGACUUAUAUUCUGUAGCAAGGUUAACCGAAUAGGGGAGCCGAAGGGAAACCGAGUCUUAACUGGGCGUUAAGUUGCAGGGUAUAGACCCGAAACCCGGUGAUCUAGCCAUGGGCAGGUUGAAGGUUGGGUAACACUAACUGGAGGACCGAACCGACUAAUGUUGAAAAAUUAGCGGAUGACUUGUGGCUGGGGGUGAAAGGCCAAUCAAACCGGGAGAUAGCUGGUUCUCCCCGAAAGCUAUUUAGGUAGCGCCUCGUGAAUUCAUCUCCGGGGGUAGAGCACUGUUUCGGCAAGGGGGUCAUCCCGACUUACCAACCCGAUGCAAACUGCGAAUACCGGAGAAUGUUAUCACGGGAGACACACGGCGGGUGCUAACGUCCGUCGUGAAGAGGGAAACAACCCAGACCGCCAGCUAAGGUCCCAAAGUCAUGGUUAAGUGGGAAACGAUGUGGGAAGGCCCAGACAGCCAGGAUGUUGGCUUAGAAGCAGCCAUCAUUUAAAGAAAGCGUAAUAGCUCACUGGUCGAGUCGGCCUGCGCGGAAGAUGUAACGGGGCUAAACCAUGCACCGAAGCUGCGGCAGCGACGCUGAUGCGUUGUUGGGUAGGGGAGCGUUCUGUAAGCCUGCGAAGGUGUGCUGUGAGGCAUGCUGGAGGUAUCAGAAGUGCGAAUGCUGACAUAAGUAACGAUAAAGCGGGUGAAAAGCCCGCUCGCCGGAAGACCAAGGGUUCCUGUCCAACGUUAAUCGGGGCAGGGUGAGUCGACCCCUAAGGCGAGGCCGAAAGGCGUAGUCGAUGGGAAACAGGUUAAUAUUCCUGUACUUGGUGUUACUGCGAAGGGGGGACGGAGAAGGCUAUGU
rnacentral:rRNA from 1 species